AUUGAACGCUGGCGGCAUGCUUUACACAUGCAAGUCGAACGGUAACAGGCCGCAAGGUGCUGACGAGUGGCGAACGGGUGAGUAAUGCAUCGGAACGUGCCCAGUCGUGGGGAAUAACGCAGCGAAAGCUGCGCUAAUACCGCAUACGAUCUAUGGAUGAAAGCGGGGGACCGUAACGCCUCGCGCGAUUGGAGCGGCCGAUGUCAGAUUAGGUAGUUGGUGGGGUAAAGGCUCACCAAGCCAACGAUCUGUAGCUGGUCUGAGAGGACGACCAGCCACACUGGGACUGAGACACGGCCCAGACUCCUACGGGAGGCAGCAGUGGGGAAUUUUGGACAAUGGGCGCAAGCCUGAUCCAGCAAUGCCGCGUGCAGGAAGAAGGCCUUCGGGUUGUAAACUGCUUUUGUACGGAACGAAAAGGCUCUGGAUAAUACCUGGGGCUCAUGACGGUACCGUAAGAAUAAGCACCGGCUAACUACGUGCCAGCCGCCGCAGUAACAC
rnacentral:rRNA from 1 species